rnacentral:rRNA from 1 species
UACGUAGGGGGCUAGCGUUGUCCGGAUUUAUUGGGCGUAAAGAGCGUGUAGGCGGCCAGGUAGGUCUGGUGUGAAAACUCGAGGCUUAACCUCGAGAUGUCAUCGGAAACCAUCAGGCUAGAGUCCGGAAGAGGAGAGUGGAGUUCCUGGUGUAGCGGUGAAAUGCGCAGAUAUCAGGAAGAACACCAAUGGCGAAAGCAGCUCCCUGGGACGGUACUGACGCUGAGACGCGAAAGCGUGGGGAGCGAACAGG